rnacentral:lncRNA from 1 species
AAAAAAAAAAAGAGAAACCUUAGAAGUUAGGAAUAAUGUGAUACAUUAACUUAUAUAUCAUAAUUGAUAAUAUGUAAAGUAUUCAAAUAUAUAUAGUUAUUUACCUGAGAAGGAAGAAAUCGUUGUAACAUGAAUGAAAUAUUCGUAAGCUGAGACUGCAAAUUUGCUUGGUUUUGCUUCAGCUCUUCAAUAGUUGCUUGAAGAUGACGAACUUCUGCAGUGUUACUAGAUUCUCUGGCAUUUCUUGUACAUGUGCCCACUGAAGACAACUGAGUGGGGGUAACUCCAACGCCGUAACCCCUCACUCGACCAUAACGCUCUGGGCCCAUCAAUUCAGCGAGCACUUGAGCUUCAAUAUGAUUGGUCGCGUCGGAUGAUGAUGACCCCCCGACGCGCUCUGAAAUAAG